AUUGAACGCUGGCGGCAGGCCUAACACAUGCAAGUCGAACGAGUGGCGGACGGGUGAGUAAUGUCUGGGAAACUGCCCGAUGGAGGGGGAUAACUACUGGAAACGGUAGUUAAACCCGCUAACCACCGGAUUUGCCCAGAUGGGAUUAGCUAGUAGGGGGGGUAACGGCUCACCUAGGGGACGGUCCCUAGCUGGUCUGAGAGGAUGACCAGCCAAACUGGAACUGAGACACGGUCCAGACUCCUACGGGAGGCAGCAGUGGGGAAUAUUGCACAAUGGGCGCAAGCCUGAUGCAGCCAUGCCGCGUGUAUGAAGAAGGCCUUCGGGUUGUAAAGUACUUUCAGCGAGGAGGCGUUACUCGCAGAAGAAGCACCGGCUAACUCCGUGCCAGCAGCCGCGGUAAUUC
rnacentral:rRNA from 1 species